GCCGGGCGUGGUGGCUCAUGCCUGUAAUCCCAGCACUUUGGGAGGCUGAGGCAGGUGGAUCACCUGAGGUCAGGAGUUCGAGACCAGCCUGGCCAACAUGGUGAAACCCCGUCUCUG
rnacentral:SRP_RNA from 1 species